GAUGAACGCUAGCUACAGGCUUAACACAUGCAAGUCGAGGGGCAGCACUAGGUAGCAAUACUGAGGUGGCGACCGGCGCACGGGUGCGUAACGCGUAUCCAACCUUCCCGUUACUCUUGGAUAGCCUUCCGAAAGGGAGAUUAAUACAAGAUGGUAUUCAAAUUCCGCAUGUUAUUUGAAUUAAAGAUUUAUCGGUAACGGAUGGGGAUGCGUGACAUUAGAUAGUAGGCGGGGUAACGGCCCACCUAGUCUACGAUGUCUAGGGGUUCUGAGAGGAAGGUCCCCCANACUGGAACUGAGACACGGUCCAGACUCCUACGGGAGGCAGCAGUGAGGAAUAUUGGUCAAUGGUCGGAAGACUGAACCAGCCAAGUAGCGUGAAGGAUGAAGGUUCUAUGGAUUGUAAACUUCUUUUAUGAGGGAAUAAAACCUCCCACGUGUGGGAGCUUGUAUGUACCUUAUGAAUAAGCAUCGGCUAACUCCGUG
rnacentral:rRNA from 1 species